rnacentral:rRNA from 1 species
GACGUAGGGCGCGAGCGUUGUCCGGAUUUAUUGGGCGUAAAGAGCUCGUAGGCGGCUUGUUGCGUCGACCGUGAAAACCCGGCUCAACUUCGGGCUUGCGGUCGAUACGGGCGGGCUAGAGUUCGGUAGGGGAGACUGGAAUUCCUGGUGUAGCGGUGAAAUGCGCAGAUAUCAGGAGGAACACCGGUGGCGAAGGCGGGUCUCUGGGCCGAUACUGACGCUGAGGAGCGAAAGCGUGGGGAGCGAACAGG